rnacentral:rRNA from 1 species
CUACGGGCUGCAGCAGUGGGGAAUAUUGCACAAUGGGCGCAAGCCUGAUGCAGCCAUGCCGCGUGUAUGAAGAAGGCCUUCGGGUUGUAAAGUACUUUCAGCGGGGAGGAAGGGAGUAAAGUUAAUACCUUUGCUCAUUGACGUUACCCGCAGAAGAAGCACCGGCUAACUCCGUGCCAGCAGCCGCGGUAAUACGGAGGGUGCAAGCGUUAAUCGGAAUUACUGGGCGUAAAGCGCAUGCAGGCGGUUUGUUAAGUCAGAUGUGAAAUCCCCGGGCUCAACCUGGGAACUGCAUCUGAUACUGGCAAGCUGGAGUCUCGUAGAGGGGGGUAGAAUUCCAGGUGUAGCGGUGAAAUGCGUAGAGAUCUGGAGGAAUACCGGUGGCGAAGGCGGCCCCCUGGACGAAGACUGACGCUCAGGUGCGAAAGCGUGGGGAGCAAACAGGAUUAGAUACCCUCGUAGUC